GCGACCCCAGGAUUGGCGAGGCCACCCGCCGAGUUUAAGCAUAUCAAUAAGCGGAGGAGAAG
rnacentral:rRNA from 1 species